AAUAGAUACCCCGGUAGUCCACGCCGUAAACGAUGUCGACUUGGAGGUUGUUCCCUUGAGGAGUGGCUUCCGGAGCUAACGCGUUAAGUCGACCGCCUGGGGAGUACGGCCGCAAGGUUAAAACUCAAAUGAAUUGACGGGGGCCCGCACAAGCGGUGGAGCAUGUGGUUUAAUUCGAUGCAACGCGAAGAACCUUACCUACUCUUGACAUCCAGAGAACUUAGCAGAGAUGCUUUGGUGCCUUCGGGAACUCUGAGACAGGUGCUGCAUGGCUGUCGUCAGCUCGUGUUGUGAAAUGUUGGGUUAAGUCCCGCAACGAGCGCAACCCUUAUCCUUUGUUGCCAGCGGUUCGGCCGGGAACUCAAAGGAGACUGCCAGUGAUAAACUGGAGGAAGGUGGGGAUGACGUCAAGUCAUCAUGGCCCUUACGAGUAGGGCUACACACGUGCUACAAUGGCGUAUACAAAGNGAAGCGACCUGCGAGAGCAAGCGGACCUCAUAAAGUACGUCGUAGUCCGGAUUGGAGU
rnacentral:rRNA from 1 species